GGCGGGACACGUGGUAUCCUGUCUGAAUAUGGGGGGACCAUCCUCCAAGGCUAAAUACUCCUGACUGACCGAUAGUGAACCAGUACCGUGAGGGAAAGGCGAAAAGAACCCCGGCGAGGGGAGUGAAAAAGAACCUGAAACCGUGUACGUACAAGCAGUGGGAGCACAGGUUUACCUGUGUGACUGCGUACCUUUUGUAUAAUGGGUCAGCGACUUAUAUUCUGUAGCAAGGUUAACCGUAUAGGGGAGCCGUAGGGAAACCGAGUCUUAACCGGGCGUUAAGUUGCAGGGUAUAGACCCGAAACCCGGUGAUCUAGCCAUGGGCAGGUUGAAGGUUGGGUAACACUAACUGGAGGACCGAACCGACUAAUGUUGAAAAAUUAGCGGAUGACCUGUGGCUGGGGGUGAAAGGCCAAUCAAACCGGGAGAUAGCUGGUUCUCCCCGAAAGCUAUUUAGGUAGCGCCUCGUGAAUUCAUCUCCGGGGGUAGAGCACUGUUUCGGCUAGGGGGCCAUCCCGGCUUACCAACCCGAUGCAAACUGCGAAUACCGGAGAAUGUUAUCACGGGAGACACACGGCGGGUGCUAACGUCCGUCGUGAAGAGGGAAACAACCCAGACCGCCAGCUAAGGUCCCAAAGUCAUGGUUAAGUGGGAAACGAUGUGGGAAGGCCCAGACAGCCAGGAUGUUGGCUUAGAAGCAGCCAUCAUUUAAAGAAAGCGUAAUAGCUCACUGGUCGAGUCGGCCUGCGCGGAAGAUGUAACGGGGCUAAACCAUG
rnacentral:rRNA from 1 species